ensembl:lncRNA
AUCACCUGUUAUCAUUGGGAAAACACUUUUGCUCAAAAUGCAAAUCUCAUCUGGCAGUUGUAGUCACUGACAUACACACCUGAAAACACUUGCACAGAAAACUGGAGAACAGAAUGGUUGGACGAGCUCCUCAAGGUGGAGGGGAACGGAUCUUCACUCAACAACAAGAGAUUGCCAUCAUUGAAAUGCCCCUUUCUAAAUGCAAUCGAGGAAUUCUUUUCAGUGUGGCAGUGGAAAGUAUAUGAUCUGCAACCACACGCCCGCAUGACUCUUCUGCAAGAGAUGGACGAGGCAUGUGGAGACACUGAGGUGGGAUCAAUCCAAGGGUGGAUUCGGUACAUAAGGCCAUAUUUUCCCUGAUGCCUGUGAUGUUGACGAGGUCUUGUGGCCAGAUCCGAACAGAAGCUCGACCACUAGGGGACGCUGCACAUCAGAAGGAUUCCAUGAGACAGAAAUCUCUGUUACCAGAGAAGCAGUUCACACAUCUGCAGAUGUUCACACUAGUAAAC